AAGCCAUGCAUGUUUAAGUAUAAGCAAUUAUACAGCGAGACUGCGGAAUGGCUCAUUAUAUAAGUUAUCGUAUAUUUGAUAGUGCCUUACUACAUGGAUAACCGUGGUAAUUCUAGAGCUAAUACAUGCUAAAAAUCCCGACUUCGGAAGGGAUGUAUUUAUUAGAUUAAAAACCAAUGCCCCUCGGGGCUCCUUGGUGAUUCAUGAUAACUCCUCGAAUCGCACGGUCUUGCGCCGGCGAUGGUUCAUUCAAAUUUCUUCCCUAUCAACUUUCGAUGUUUGGGUCUUGGCCAAACAUGGUUGCAACGGGUAACGGAGGGUUAGGGCUCGACCCCGGAGAAGGAGCCUGAGAAACUGCUACUACAUCCGAGGAAGGCAGCAGGCGCGCAAAUUACCCAAUCCCGACACGGGGAGGUAGUGACAAUAAAUACUGAUACAGGGCUCUUUCGGGUCUUGUAAUUGGAAUGAGUACAAUUUAAAUCCCUUAACGAGGAACAAUUGGAGGGCAAGUCUGGUGCCAGCAGCCGCGGUAAUUCCAGCUCCAAUAGCGUAUAUUAAAGUUGUUGUGGAUAAAAAGCUCGUAGUUGAACCUUGGGCCUGGCUGGCCGGUCCGCCUCACCGCGUGUACUGGUCCGGCCGGUCUUUCCCUCUGUGGAACCCCAUGCCCUUCACUGGGUGUGGCGGGGAAACAGGACUUUUACUUUGAAAAAAUUAGAGUGCUCCAGGCAGGCCAAUGCUCGAAUACAUUAGCAUGGAAUAAUAGAAUAGGACUGUGGUUCUAUUUUGGUGGU
rnacentral:rRNA from 1 species